rnacentral:rRNA from 1 species
GACAGAGGGUGCAAACGUUGUUCGGAAUUACUGGGCGUAAAGCGCGUGUAGGUGGUCUCGCAAGUCGGAUGUGAAAUCCCAGGGCUCAACCCUGGAAGUGCACCCGAAACUGCAAGACUGGAGUCCUGGAGAGGAAGGUGGAAUGCUUGGUGUAGAGGUGAAAUUCGUAGAUAUCAAGCGGAACACCAGUGGCGAAGGCGGCCUUCUGGACAGUGACUGACACUGAGACGCGAAAGCGUGGGGAGCAAACAGG